UACAGAGGGGGCAAGCGUUGUUCGGAAUUAUUGGGCGUAAAGGGCGCGUAGGCGGUGCGGUAAGUCUGUAGUGAAAUCUCUGGGCUCAACUCAGAGUCUGCUGCAGAAACUGCCGUGCUUGAGUGUGGGAGAGGUGAGUGGAAUUCCCGGUGUAGCGGUAAAAUGCGUAGAGAUGUGGAGGAACACCAGUGGCGAAGGCGACUCUCUGGACUGUGACUGACGCUGAGGCGCGAAAGCGUGGGGAGCAAACAGG
rnacentral:rRNA from 1 species